rnacentral:lncRNA from 10 species
UAGAAACCAUAGAGUUACCAUACAAAAUCAUGGUGAAAAUCAAAAGUCAAUAGAAUAAAGGUGGCAGAGUGUUCACACAGAAUGGACCAGGGUUCUUUGGUGACGUCACUGAAAUUUCAACUUUAAAAAAAAGUGAGCAAACUUGCUCAUGAUUGCCACGAAACUUGGGACCAAUUACAAUGUGAUAACUAGAAGGAAAAAGCAAUACUUACUAGGAUUGAAUUGUGUCCCUCCCCAGCAAAACAUUACUUUGGACUACUAACCACCAGUACCUCAGAAUGUGAUUUUAUUUGAAGAUAGGAAUUUUACAGAGGGGAAAAUUUGGAUGCAGACACAGACAAGCACACAGGGAGAAUACCAUGUAAAGAGUGGAGUUAUGCUGCCACAAGCAAAGGAACUACCAGAAGCUAAGAGAAGCCUGGAACAGAUCCUUCCCCAGAAUCUUCAGAGAAAGCAUGGACUUACUGAUGUCUUCAUUUCAGACUUCUGGCCUCCAGAACUGUGAGACAACAACUUUCUUUUCUUCUAAGCACCCAGUUUGUGUUAACUUGUUACAGCAAGAAAGUAAUAUGAUAUUUAAGUUUUAAAAAUGAAAUAAUUUUUAUUUAAUUACUUGCUGAGUAAAGUGAAAAGAUUUUAAAACAAACCUUACCUGUAAAAAUUAUUUAGUUGAGCUCAUUAUUCUAUAUAUGUAAUGAGGGCAAUAAAUAUAAUCGACUUUCUAAAAUGAGGCUAAUAUUAUUUCUUAGUCUUUGAGAAAGUCUGCAAUAGAAAAUCAGCAUUUAUUUGUUCAUUAGAUUCCCAUAGACUUAGGUAGCAAUAAAAUAUCUUUAAAUUUCAGUCUAUUCACAGUGCACCCUUCAGAUCAGUUUACUUUGAUGUCUUUAUAAUGCAAUCAUCCAAUCUAUUCUCAAUCCAUGCUUUCUUAUUCAUUCAGCAUAACAAUAUCAUAUGAUUUAUCUUUUGAAUAAGGUGAUGCUUUUCUCAAACUGUAUAUGAUUCACAAAUUGCUUUCUUCAGCAGAGAGAAAUGUGAGCUCAUUUCCUGCCAAACAAAGUAACUGCAUAAGAAGGGAAGAAACAUAUUAAGAGGGUGCAAGUUUUAUCUUUGUACAGAAAAGAAUGUGGCAUUAAAGUCAUUUUUGUUAUGAAAGCUGAAAAAGCAAAGGUCUAAUGUUCAUCUAUUCCAGGAUAAUAGGCUAGAAGUUAAACAUUUAAAGAAUGAAGACAUUCUCUUCUGUACAACCCUAGCUAGAAUAAAUUCUAGAUGAAUUUUGCAACAAAUCAUAUGAUUCUACAUAAAUCAAAAUUUUGUAGGCAUACAAUUUUGUUAAGUGAGUUUUCUUGACAGUGAACAAUUCUAUUAGUAAACAAGGCAUAUUAACUGAUUAGAUAUCCUUGCUGAUGCCUUAUUAAAUGACAAUCACUUAAGGAAAAGGUGCAUCAUCAGAUGACAUAUUUUCCUAAAUUGGGGUAACCAAAGCAAUAAUUAUAUUUGUAACAAUUAAGGAUUUUACUAAUUGGCUGUAUGCUCUUUCUGUUUGAAAGAAUGAAAAUCAGUGAAUCCUCCACAGACUUUCACUUCCAUUACAAAUUUUCUGUGCUUUGCACAAUAUACCCGUUUGAGAAUUCAGAAAAUGGCACGCUAAAAAUAAGAAAACUUGUAUAACCUCCCCAGUGCUGAGUUCCCCGAAGUUCUUCCACUAAGAAAUACUUAUUUUAAUAAAUCACCAAUAUAAAUACUAUUUAUUAUCCAAAGGAUGAGACUGUAAAAUAUAAAACUUCAAGAAAUUAAAGUCUAGUAAAAUGUCUUUUUUUUUUUGACAGAUCAUUCCCAUAAAAUGGAUUUCCAGGAAAAACUUAAUAUUACAUAUGUCUUUCAGUGGACAAAUCAUUGAAUAGAUGUAAUAGGCAAUAUUUAGCCUGUGGGCUGUACUUUGCCCACCCCUAUUCAUUCUAGAAUAUUAAGUUCUAUGGGCUUGAUAGCUGAUAUGGGUUGAGUUUUUGUCCCGGUCCAAAUUUCAUGUUGAAUUGUAAUCCCCAAUGUUAAAGGAGGGGCCUCGUAGAAGGUGAUUGAACCAUAGGGCGUAUUUCCCCUUUGCUUUUCAAAUGAUAGUGAAUGAGUUCUCAUGAGAUCUGGUUGUUUAAAAGUGUGUGGCACCUCCCCCUUCUCUCUCUUCUUCCUCCUCUAGUCAUAUAAGAUGUGAUUCCUUCCUCUUGGCCUUCUGUCAUGAUUGUAAGUUUCCUGAGGUCUCCCCCACCAUGCUUCCUGUACAGCCUGCAGAACUGUAAGCCAAUUAAACCUCUUUUCUUCAUAAAUUGUCCAGUCUCAGGUAGUUGUUUGUAGCAAUGUGAGAACGAACUAAUACAAUAGCCUAUUUAUUUGUCUCUUUGUGAAAAGAAUAGAUGUUCUUGCAUUCAAGCUUAGGUCUCUUGAGCCUAAAGUUCAUGUCGUUUUAGGAAGGACAAACAAGGAAAAUAUGAGAAGUAUAAUAUGGCAUAAUACAUAAAUCUAUAUUCAAAUCUUUAGUGUUCAAUGUCAUGCUAUUGAACCAUACAGUGUGGUUUAGUGAAUUAUAUUUAUGUCUCCUCUUAUCUUUGCUAGGUAGAUACUUGCACAAGAUCUAUUCUUUUAUCUUCUUAAUACACAUGCAUUCUCCCGACAUUAUUAAAAGUAAAAUAAUAUACUGUGCCAAGGAGAGCAAAAGAAAGGGAAAGCUGAUUUGUGAGUUUACUAUCAUCAUAUUUUAAAUUAUGUAA